rnacentral:rRNA from 1 species
UACAGAGGUCUCAAGCGUUGUUCGGAUUCAUUGGGCGUAAAGGGUGCGUAGGUGGCGCUGUAAGUCAGGCGUGAAAUCCCCGAGCUCAACUUGGGAAUUGCGCUUGAAACUACGGUGCUGGAGUAUGGCAGAGGGAGGUGGAAUUCCACGUGUAGCGGUGAAAUGCGUAGAGAUGUGGAGGAACACCGAUGGCGAAGGCAGCCUCCUGGGCCAAUACUGACGCUCAUGCACGAAAGCGUGGGGAGCAAACAGG